CUACGGGCGGCUGCAGUUAGGUAUAAUCUACAAUGCACGAAAGUGUGAUAGUUUGAGCCAGAGUGCUUUGCAAAUGCAAAGCUUUUGCCAAAUCUAAAAAUUUUGGCGAAUAAGGACUGGGUAAGACGAGUGCCAGCCGCCGCGGUAAUACUCGCGGUCCAAGUCGCAGCCAUAUUUAUUGGGUCUAAAACAUCCGUAGCUUGCUUAAUAAGUUCCUUGUGAAAUCUUAUAUCUUAAAUAUAAGGCGUGCGGGGAAUACUGUUUAGCUAGAGACUGGAAGACGUAAGAAGUAUGUUUAAAGUAACGGUAAGAUGUGUUAAUCUUAGACAGACUCACAACAGCGAAGGCAUCUUACGAGGACAGUUCUGACAGUAAAGGAUGAAGGCUAGGGGCGCAAAACGGAUUAGAUACCCCGGUAGUC
rnacentral:rRNA from 1 species